AAAGUAGGCGAACGGCUGAGUAACACGUGGGCAACCUGCCCUUUGCACUGGGAUAGCCUCGGGAAACCGAGGUUAAUACCGGAUACUCCAUAUUUGUCGCAUGGCGAAUAUGGGAAAGCUCCGGCGGCAAAGGAUGGGCCCGCGGCCUGUUAGCUAGUUGGUGGGGUAGUGGCCUACCAAGGCAAUGAUGGGUAGCCGGGUUGAGAGACCGACCGGCCAGAUUGGGACUGAGACACGGCCCAGACUCCUACGGGAGGCAGCAGCC
rnacentral:rRNA from 1 species